rnacentral:rRNA from 1 species
GACGAACGCUGGCGGCGCGCUUAACACAUGCAAGUCGAACGGAAAGGCCUGCUUUCCCUUGUGGAUUGCGGGUACUCGAGUGGCGAACGGGUGAGUAACACGUGAGUGAUCUGCACCCAACUUGGGUAUAAGCCUGGGAAACUGGGUCUAAUUCCCGAUAGGACUGCAGGGUGGUGCCUGUGGUGGAAAACGAUUUUCUAGUGGUUGGGGAUGAGCUCGCGGCCUAUCAGCUUGUUGGGGGGGUAAUGGCCUACCAAGGCGGCGUCCGGUAGCCGGACUGAGAGGGUGGACGGCCACAGUGGGAGUGAGAUCCGACCCAGACUCCUACGGGAGGCAGCGGUGGGGGAUAUUGGACAAUAGGCGGAAGCCUGAUGCAGCGACGCCGCGUGGAGGAUGACGGCCUUCGGGUUGUAAACUCCUUUCGACCGCGAGGACGCCACCUGGUUGGAAGGGUGGUGACGGUAGUGGUAGAAGAAGCACCGGCUAACUACGUG